UGGGGAAUAUUGGACAAUGGGCGAAAGCCUGAUCCAGCCAUGCCGCGUGUGUGAAGAAGGCCUUUUGGUUGUAAAGCACUUUAAGCGAGGAGGAGGCUACUAGUACUAAUACUACUGGAUAGUGGACGUUACUCGCAGAAUAAGCACCGGCUAACUCUGUGCCAGCAGCCGCGGUAAUACAGAGGGUGCAAGCGUUAAUCGGAUUUACUGGGCGUAAAGCGCGCGUAGGCGGCUAAUUAAGUCAAAUGUGAAAUCCCCGAGCUUAACUUGGGAAUUGCAUUCGAUACUGGUUAGCUAGAGUGUGGGAGAGGAUGGUAGAAUUCCAGGUGUAGCGGUGAAAUGCGUAGAGAUCUGGAGGAAUACCGAUGGCGAAGGCAGCCAUCUGGCCUAACACUGACGCUGAGGUGCGAAAGCAUGGGGAGCAAACAGG
rnacentral:rRNA from 1 species